UGUGACAUAUUUUCAUUUUGAUGGACCUGCACCAAAGCUCACCAUGUUAACUGUGUGUUAGAGGUCUGCAUGGUUCCAAAGUUCCAAUCCAAAAACCGAUCGAUGGAAAAUCUAACCGAACCUCACAUGCAUAAAUACGUUUUCAAAAAAGAGAGACUUGAUCCCCAGAGGACUGGGGCACAGUCAGGAUAGUUAGACCUGAUCAGAAAGAAGGACAGAGAGAGAACAACAGCAGCAGCAUGAUGCUGUAUCAGUUAACAAGCAGCCACGGUGGAAAAGAGCAGUAGUUGCUAGUAAGACUAGUUUAUGGAAAUAAUAGAAAGUCCUGUUUUCACCUCCUGCACCAACAAUAAAACACUGUUGGUCCACUCUGUGUGUGUUCCAUGCUUAGUGUUACAAAAGUUAUGUAACCCACAGAAAAAUUACCAGAAGUUAUCUCUGGCGAUGCCACAAGUGGUUGCUAGAGGGAGCUAUAGUGCGUAGUAGUGCAAUCGAUUCAGACUAUCGUAGAGAACAAGAAGCAAAACAACGGCGAAAGAAACAACACACAGCUGCUGCUGAGAUAAACGAGUAGAGAGAAAUCUUAAGAGUUACACGAGCACCUUUCUCAAGACAUUUCGGAUUUCAUUUCUCUUUUUUUGUCAUUUUGUUGAUUGUGAGGCCGAAGGAUUAUUUUGAUGUUGGUGUACCUGCUUUUGGAUUUAAUCCAUGAAUCUCCGGUUGUUUUUGAGUCUGAGGUUAUUUCCGAGGAGGAGGUCUGGUUUUGCGAGUCAGGAUCCAUACCAGGGGCAGAGAGUAUCUGGCCUGCUUUCUCAACUCACCUGGAAUGACAACAACCUUACUCCUGGACAGAUAAACAUAUGAGAUCUCAACAUACACACUACCCAGGUAGCAACAACAAUACACACAUACACACCUGAACUGAGGAGAACUGAAAAGAACUUUGAACUGUGGAUUCUUUCUACAGACUAAUAAACAAAAAGACUAAAACAACAGCAAUUCGCUAUAAGAGACAAUUUGAGUUGAAAGUUUAUUUUCUUGUUUUUUUGUUGUGUUGUAAUAAAUUGAGUUAUUUUCUUUAAUCCCUAA